rnacentral:tRNA from 1 species
GUCCAGAGACCUAGUGGACAUGGCAUCUGCCCGGUAAGUGGAACACUGUGGGUUCGAUUCCCAUCCUUGAACA